GGUCACUGUCGGCUUUCCCUUUCUCUGGCUUUCGGCGUUCCUUCCUUCCCACGCUGGCACACCCCUUCCGCUUCGCCUUCGUCUUCUACUCUUCCUCUUCCUUCCAGUUCUUCACUUACCCUCGCCUUCGUCUUCCUCAAUCCAGCAGCCGCCCAGAUCGAAGAGUCGAAGUGGAGGGAGUUCACCUUUCAGUUAGCUCGUGUCGGACAUGGACGGCAGCUUGAAGCUCGAACUCGACGGGCGACGGCAACUUGAAGGCUUGAAGCUCAGAAAUCGGCGCCUCUAGCCCAGAGGUGCGCUGCUGUCCGUUCGCCGUCGGUGUCUUCUUUUCCUUUUGUUGCUACUCGCCACCGCUCUCUCCUUUCCUUCUCCUCAGUCGACUCUGUCUUGUGUGUGAGCGAGCAGCUCAUGGUGAUUUUACUCUCACCUUGGUAGAGUUGGGCACUAAUAGCUGGUUGAAAGGGAAAGCCCAGGUUUUGUCCAUUUCAACUUCCCAAUGUAAGUUUUGCUACAUUUCGACUUUCCAAUGUAAGUUAAAAGGAAUCUAUGUAUAUUUUGAUUUGAUACCUGAUUGAUUAAUUGCCUGAUUGUAUAGUACAUAAAUGAUGAUAUGUGUAGUUGUCGUUGAAAUGAUUUCUGGUUUUGCAUGCCGUCUCUGAAACACUUGAACUUUGUUCAUUUCUUAUAGUUUUGUACUUUUGAUGAGAGAAAGCUUUCAAAGCAUUAUUUAUUUAUAUUUCUUUGUUGGGAGAAGGUUAAAGGAGCAAUGUACAUUAUGGUGAUUAAACAAUUCAUUUGAAACUAUCCAAAUAACUUUUGGGCUGCAUACUCUGCUCCUUUUUUGUUUAUGCCCAUUUUCUUUCCUUUUUCUUUGGACAUAUGAAUUGGAUGACUACACCUUGAUUCAGUUUCACUUUGUUGAUAUUCCACAUGUAGCUUACAGUUCGAGGCUAAUCUUGACCUAUGGAUUUUUUUGGGCGUUUAAAUGCACUAUAGUUAUAGGUUGCAGGCUGUUGAUAGCUAUUUCUCCUCAAAUUUCAUGGCUUGGAAUGCAUGGUUAGUUUAUAUUGUCUAUGUCAUCUCAGGAAUUGUGAUGACUAUUGGUUUGGUCUCUGUGCCAAGUACUGGCUUGAGUGAUUAUGGAGCACCUCGGCUUUUGAUGCCAUAUUUAGUGAUUUUUGAGGCGAAAGAAUAAUUAUUAUUGUUUACAUGAUAAAAAAGGAAAUACGAUAUUUUUUUUCCCUUUUGAUUUAGGUCAGAUUUACAGAUUGCUACUGAAGUAAAUGUUAUUUCCCUACUUUAAGUAUGCAGUGAUAGUAAUAUUGAUAGUGAUAUUGUGGCUCUAUUGCUGUGCAUGUAUGUUGCAUAUCUUGAUCAAUGUUUUAUAGUUUUAUAUAUUUUAUUCAUGUAUUCUAAGAUACAUGCAUCUUACCUGUUCUCCCUUGGUUGUAAAUUUUGAACUUAGUGAUAUCUUUCUAGGACAAUGUUUCUGCACUUUUUCAAAUUACUUCUAUUUGUCCUCAUUAAAUUAUUUUGGAAGUACAGGAUGAAUCAUUAUUAAUUUGGAUAUCAAGUAGCAGAGAAAGAUGUCUAAAGUUAUCUUCUGUCUCGAGAAUUAUUCCUAUAAAAAGAAUUGUGAGAUCUCUACAUGUCUAUUGCAUAAUGCAACUGCUUUAUUUUUCUGUAGUUCAAUCUAAACUAACUGAUUUCCAUAUAUAAUAUGAUUUGAUGACUUACUCAUGUUUUUUGUUUACAUCAAUUCUAUGGUAGGAUAUUUUCAACAUUGUUUGUGUCCCGAGAAGGAUUUGUCUUUUUCACGUAUUUACGACAACAUAAAGAGAUUACUUGACUUGGUUGGUGCUGGGUUUAGCAUUUAUAAGUAUGAAUAUCUUAUCACUUUAUUGCUUCGUAUAUUUGCAAGGAUAAACCUGGGGCAGAAGGUUGGGUUGCUCUCCUCGAAUCAUUGCUCCCUUUUGGUCAAGGUGGGCAGUCCAAAACUUACAGAUGGAGUGAUGUGGGGGCCUCUGUCUUGAACAAGAGGAAACGUGGACAGAGGAGAUCCAAAAAUUGAAGAAGCUUAGUCCUGAUGGGAAAAUCUCCAGUCAAGAAGGAUUGAAGCAUAUUGGAGAAAGAAUGAAUCUUUUGUCUUUGUUUGGAACUUGCCAGGAUGAACUUUCUAUCAAGUGUUACGGGUGAAUGAGAAUGCUGAUUGAUUGGAGACCGGGAUGUUUCUGCGUACAAUAAAUAUGAGUAACAGUAGAUUUUAUGGUACACCAUCUCUCCAAUGCCUUGUGCGAAACUUCUCACUCUGGUCUAUGAAGAAGGAUCCGGAUCUUGAAUCAGCUCUAUCUCGCAAUCACCGCUGGAUUGUUAAUAAUCAAAUCAAGAACAUUAUCCUUCGAUAUCCUAAGCAGGAGAUACCUGUGAAAGUUCUUCAGAAGAAAUUUAAGAACCUUGAUCUCCAAGGCAAAGCUCUCAAUUGGAUAAAAAAAUAUCCAUGUUGUUUUGAGCUUCAUCUCCAUGGUGAUGAAUAUCACUGUAGACUGACAAAGCAGAUGAUGCAUUUGGUAGAAGAAGAAGAAUCUGUUAAAGACAUGCAGGAAACAAUAUUUGUUAGGAGGUUAGCAAAGUUGUUGAUGAUGAGUGCAAAUAAGAGACUUAAUGUUGUCAAAAUUAAUGAGCUGAAGAGAAAUUUUGGUUUUCCAGAUGAUUAUUUAAUCAGAAUUAUUCCUAAGUAUCCAGAUAUGUUUCGGAUUGUUAAUUAUAGUGGAAGACGAAAUGCAAUGGAAAUAGAAUUGGUAUCUUGGAACCCUGAUUUGGCUAUUUCUACAGUUGAAGCAUCUGCUCAGAAACAGGGAACCCACCCAAGUUUCACAUGCUUAUUACCUUCAACUUGGGUGAAAUCUUGGGAAAGAUUUAAUGAAUUUAAUUCAAGCCCUUAUAUUUCACCUUACAUGGAUCCAAAAGAUUUGGUGGAAGGAUCAAAGGAGAUGGAGAAGAAGACAGUAGGUUUGCUGCAUGAAUUGUUAUCAUUGACUCUCUGGAAGAAGGCCUCAAUUGUGAAACUGAGUCACUUUAGGAGGGAGUUUGUUUUACCAGAUAAGUUGAACAUUUUAUUGCUCAAGCAUCCUGGGAUUUUUUACGUUUCAAAUAAGUAUCAAAUUUAUACAGUUCUGCUUCGAGAGGGAUAUAAUGGCUCUGAACUCAUUUAUAAAGAUCCUUUGGUAUUGGUGAAGGACAAAUUUGGGGAACUGAUGCAGGAGGGACUUCAUGAAUAUAAUCAGAGGCAUCGCUUAAUGAAUUUGGAGAAGAAGAGAAAGAAUGGCCUUCCUUUGGCUAGAGUAGAUAAAAGAAAGGAUAGAAGAGCUGGAAUUUCUGACUCGGAGAAUCAGGGAGAUAAACUGGGGGCUUUGCAUGACCCAGAAGAAAGAAAACGGUUCUAUAAAGUUCUGUUUGAUGAUGAUGCUUCAUGAAAUCUACAUAGGACUCGUUUCUCAUUUGGUAGAGAAUGAAGAGUUGCAAGCAAAGAUGAGAAUAAGAAAUCUUCCUUAAAAAAGGUAUGAUUUGACAUACUGUAUAUUGGAGCAAUUGGACGGGGGAUAGGCAUGGAAUUUGAUGGCAAGUCCAUUGACCCACUUCUGUUUGUCUCCCCAAAAAUCUAUGAAAGAAAGCUGGGAAGCAAUUUUCUAUUGAUGUGCACUAGUGUUACGGUUGCUCGAUGCCGGGUUGAUGUGCUCGAGAGGCAUUGACUCCUGCCAAACACUCGUUAAACAGCGACUUCGAUGCUGUUAGCAUCGAUCAAUGUGACCAUUUGAGGUACCUUGUAGUGUGGUUGUAUGGCUAUUAGUGGAUCGCAGCUUAGAAGGCCAUCUCCCAUAUUAACAGAACUAUAAAACCUGGCAUUAGAAAAUUGGGCCAUAUAAAAUCUUCUGAAAGAGCCUCAUUUGGUUCCUUAGAAUAAGAAAGUAAAUGAAACUUUUCAGAUAGUUUUUGCUUUGGAUCCUUUCUUUGUGAAUUUGAGGUCGUGCUCCUCUUGUUUUUCGUUAGUCGCUCCUUUAAUUGACUUUGUACUUAUUUAUUUAUGAUGUGAGCCAUUAUGACUUUUUAAAUAUUUUAAUGUGAAGAAAAUUCACACA